rnacentral:lncRNA from 1 species
AUAAGUGCAUUAAAUGAAAUGGAAUGUACCAAUCAACAAGUGUUGAUCAAUGACAUUGAGGAUCAUGGUCAAACAAUUAAAAACAGAAGUGAGAUGAAGAUUGGAAAUCAAGAAAUGAAUAAAAAUGUUUUUAGCAUUUUUAAUAUUCAAAAUAAACUUGAAUUAAUCUCAAAUCAAUUAAAAAAUUGAUGAGAAUAUUUUUCAUAGAACCAUCAUCAUUCAAAUAGGUUGGGAAAAUAUUU